CGUCCAUCCCGAGCGACUGAGAGACCUGGCUCGCCGAAGUCGCAGCAACCACCCUCCACAGGGCAGGUGCUACCGCCAGGACCGAUGGAGG
rfam:Amycolatopsis mediterranei S699, complete genome.